rnacentral:rRNA from 1 species
UACGUAGGUGACCAGCGUUGUCCGGAUUUACUGGGCGUAAAGAGCGCGCAGGCGGUCGUUCAAGUCGAGUGUGAAAGCCCCCGGCUCAACUGGGGAGGGUCAUUCGAUACUGAUCGACUCGAAGGCAGGAGAGGGAAGUGGAAUUCCCGGUGUAGUGGUGAAAUGCGUAGAUAUCGGGAGGAACACCAGUGGCGAAGGCGACUUCCUGGCAUGUUAUUGACGCUGAGGCGCGAAAGCGAGGGGAGCAAACGGG